UUUCCGUAGGUGAGUAAAAGUCUAUCUGCUAUUCAAGAAUUCAACUAACAUUUUCAAGGUGAACCUGCGGAAGGAUCAUUAUCGAGAUGCCCGCUGCUGCCCUUCGGGUAAACAGUAUGCGGGUACUCCCACCCUUGUCAAAAUUGUCCAUUGCUUCGGCGGGCCGACACUUUGUGCCGUCGGUUAAUCUGGCGUGUGCCUGCCGAAAACCUAUACUCUGUGUCUUGUAGUCUGAUUCAAAAGUUUAAUUAUCA
rnacentral:misc_RNA from 1 species